rnacentral:rRNA from 1 species
GACGAACGCUGGCGGCGUGCUUAACACAUGCAAGUCGAACGGAAAGGCCCUGCUUUUGUGGGGUUCUCGAGUGGCGAACGGGUGAGUAACACGUGAGUAACCUGCCCUUGACUUUGGGAUAACUUCAGGAAACUAGGGCUAAUACCGGAUAGGAGACCCUGCUGCAUGGUGGGGGUUGGAAAGUUUCGGCUGUUGGGGAUGGACUCGCGGCUUAUCAGCUUGUUGGUGGGGUAGUGGAUUACCAAGGCUGUGACGGGUAGCCCGCCUGAGAGGGUGAACGGGGACAUUGGGACUGAGAGACGGCGCAGACUGCUACAGGAGGCAGCAGUGGGGAAUAUUGCACAGUGGGCGCAAGCCUGAUGCAGCAACGUCGCGUGCGGGAUGACCGCCUUCGGGGUGUAAACCGCUUUCGGCUGUGACGAAGCGUGAGUGACGGUAAUGGGUAAAGAAGCACCGGCUAACUACGUG